UACGGGGGGGGCAAGCGUUGUUCGGAAUUACUGGGCGUAAAGGGCUCGUAGGCGGCCAACUAAGUCAGACGUGAAAUCCCUCGGCUUAACCGGGGAACUGCGUCUGAUACUGGAUGGCUGGAGUUUGGGAGAGGGAUGCGGAAUUCCAGGUGUAGCGGUGAAAUGCGUAGAUAUCUGGAGGAACACCGGUGGCGAAGGCGGCAUCCUGGACCGACACUGACGCUGAGGCGCGAAAGCUAGGGGAGCAAACGGG
rnacentral:rRNA from 1 species